rnacentral:rRNA from 1 species
UGCUUAACACAUGCAAGUCGAACGAGAAAGGGACUUCGGUCCUGAGUAGAGUGGCGCACGGGUGAGUAACGCGUAGGUAAUCUACCUCUGCAUCUGGGAUAACACUUCGAAAGGGGUGCUAAUACCGGAUACACUUAUGGGUCGCAAGACCUAUAAGGAAAGGAGACGAUCCGCAAGGAGUUUCUGUGUAGAGAUGAGCCUGCGUCCCAUUAGCUAGUUGGCAGGGUAAGAGCCUACCAAGGCGACGAUGGGUAGCGGGUCUGAGAGGAUGAUCCGCCACACUGGAACUGAAACACGGACCAGACUCCUACGGGAGGCAGCAGUGAGGAAUAUUGGACAAUGGGCGCAAGCCUGAUCCAGCGACGCCGCGUGAGUGAUGAAGGCCUUUGGGUCGUAAAGCUC